rnacentral:rRNA from 1 species
AGAGUUUGAUCCUGGCUCAGGAUGAACGCUAGCGGCAGGCCUAACACAUGCAAGUCGAGGGGUAGAGGGUGCUUGCACCCUUGAGACCGGCGCACGGGUGCGUAACGCGUAUGCAAUCUACCUUAUACAGGGGAAUAGCCCAGGGAAACUUGGAUUAAUGCCCCAUGGUCCAUAGAAGCGGCAUUGUUUUUAUAGUAAAGAUUUAUCGGUAUAAGAUGAGCAUGCGUACCAUUAGCUAGUUGGUGCGGUAACGGCGCACCAAGGCUACGAUGGUUAGGGGCCCUGAGAGGGGGAUCCCCCACACUGGUACUGAGACACGGACCAGACUCCUACGGGAGGCAGCAGUGAGGAAUAUUGGACAAUGGGCGGGAGCCUGAUCCAGCCAUGCCGCGUGCAGGAAGACUGCCCUAUGGGUUGUAAACUGCUUUUUUACGGGAAGAAACACCCCCCUCGUGAGGGGGCUUGACGGUACCGUACGAAUAAGGACCGGCUAACUCCGUGCCAGCAGCCGCGGUAAUACGGAGGGUCCGAGCGUUAUCCGGAAUCAUUGGGUUUAAAGGGUCCGUAGGCGGGCGUCUAAGUCAGUGGUGAAAUCCCGCAGCUCAACUGUGGAAUUGCCAUUGAUACUGGUCGCCUUGAAUCAAUGUGAAGUGGCUAGAAUAUGUGGUGUAGCGGUGAAAUGCUUAGAUAUUUACAUAGAAUACCGAUUGCGAAGGCAGGUCACUAACAUUGCAUUGACGCUGAUGGACGAAAGCGUGGGGAGCGAACAGG